rnacentral:rRNA from 1 species
UCUAAGUCCGGGCCAGUGGCGGCGGGAAUACGGGGGGUGCAAGCGUUAAUCGGAAUUACUGGGCGUAAAGCGCACGUAGGCGGUUUGCUAAGUCAGAUGUGAAAUCCCCGGGCUUAACCUGGGAACUGCACCUGAUACUGGAAGACUAGAAUGUGGGAGAGGAGAGUGGAAUUUCCGGUGUAGCGGUGAAAUGCAUAGAGAUCGGAAGGAACACCAGUGGCGAAGGCGGCUCUCUGGACCAACAUUGACGCUGAGGUGCGAAAGCGUGGGUAGCAAACAGGAUUAGAUACCCGAGUAGUC